AUUUGGCUCGGCGAAACGAAAUGGAUGUGCGAAUCAAUGCCGCCAGCUGUAACGAUGAGGCCUUCGCCAGCGAGAGCUUCUGUCGACGCACCGACGAUCAUGCCCGGUGUGACACCGUCCAUAACGGCCGGGUUCCCAGCUUUACCAAUACCGGCGAUAACGCCGUCUUUAAUGCCAAUAUCGGCUUUAUAAAUGCCUGUGUAAUCGACGAUGAGGCAGUUUGUAAUAACUAAGUCUAAAUCGCCGUUUUCGCUCGUCGUCGUAACGGACUGGCCCAUGCCAUCGCG
rnacentral:sRNA from 1 species